GGCCGUGACCUCCAUGGGAUCAUGGCCGCCAUCUCUGUGGUAUCAUGGCCGCCAUCUCUAUGGUAUCAUGGCCGCCAUCUCUAUGGUAUCAUGGCCGCCAUCUCUAUGGGAUCAUGGCCGCCAUCUCUAUGGGAUCAUGGCCGCCAUCUCUAUGGGAUCAUGGCUGCCAUCUCUAUGGUAUCAUGGCCGCUAUCUCUAUGGUAUCAUGGCCGCCACCUCCACGGGAUCGUUGCCACCAUCUCUAUGGUAUCAUGGCCACCAUCUCUAUGGGAUCAUGGCCGCCAUCUCUAUGCCAUCAUGGCCGCCAUCUCUAUGGGGUCAUGGCCGCCACCUCCACGGAAUCAUUGCCACCAUCUCUAUGGUGUCAUGGCCGCCAUCUCUAUGGUAUCAGGGCCACCACCUCCAUGGGUCAUGGCCGCCAUCUCUAUGGCAUCAUGGCCGCCAUCUCUAUGAUAUCAUGGCCGCCAUCUCUAUGGCAUCAUGGCUGCCACCUCCACGGGAUCAUGGCCGCCAUCUCAAUGGUAUCAUGGCCGCCAUCUCUAUGGUGUCAUGGCCGCCAUCUCUAUGGUGUCAUGGCCGCCACCCCCUCCACCAAUGUCGCCCCCCGCAGGUGGACGUGAGCGCGGCGGUGGCCUACACCAUGGCGGCCAAGGAGGAGGUGGAGCUGCAGCUGAUGCGCAAAGCGGCCGCCGUCACCUCCGAGGUCUUCAGCAAGUUCUUCAA
rnacentral:lncRNA from 1 species